GAUUCCUACGGGAGGCAGCAGUGGGGAAUAUUGCACAAUGGGCGAAAGCCUGAUGCAGCGACGCCGCGUGAGGGAUGAAGGCCUUCGGGUUGUAAACCUCUUUCAGCAGGGAAGAAGCAGCCGGGUUUUCUUGGUUGUGACGGUACCUGCAGAAGAAGCACCGGCUAACUACGUGCCAGCAGCCGCGGUAAUACGUAGGGUGCAAGCGUUGUCCGGAAUUAUUGGGCGUAAAGAGCUUGUAGGCGGUUUGUCGCGUCUGCUGUGAAAUUUCGGGGCUCAACCCCGAACUUGCAGUGGGUACGGGCAGACUAGAGUGUGGUAGGGGAGACUGGAAUUCCUGGUGUAGCGGUGAAAUGCGCAGAUAUCAGGAGGAACACCGAUGGCGAAGGCAGGUCUCUGGGCCACUACUGACGCUGAGAAGCGAAAGCAUGGGGAGCGAACAGGAUUAGAUACCCUGGUAGUCCAUGCCGUAAACGUUGGGAACUAGGUGUGGGCCUCAUUCCACGAGGUCCGUGCCGCAGCUAACGCAUUAAGUUCCCCGCCUGGGGAGUACGGCCGCAAGGCUAAAACUCAAAGGAAUUGACGGGGGCCCGCACAAGCGGCGGAGCAUGCGGAUUAAUUCGAUGCAACGCGAAGAACCUUACCAAGGCUUGACAUGUGCCGGUAAAGUGCAGAGAUGUGCUCCCCGCAAGGUCGGUACACAGGUGGUGCAUGGUUGUCGUCAGCUCGUGUCGUGAGAUGUUGGGUUAAGUCCCGCAACGAGCGCAACCCUCGUUCUAUGUUGCCAGCACGUGAUGGUGGGGACUCAUAGGAGACUGCCGGGGUCAACUCGGAGGAAGGUGGGGAUGACGUCAAAUCAUCAUGCCCCUUAUGUCUUGGGCUUCACGCAUGCUACAAUGGCCAGUACAAAGGGCUGCGAUACCGCAAGGUGGAGCGAAUCCCAAAAAACUGGUCUCAGUUCGGAUUGGGGUCUGCAACUCGACCCCAUGAAGUCGGAGUCGCUAGUAAUCGCAGAUCAGCAACGCUGCGGUGAAUACGUUCCCG
rnacentral:rRNA from 1 species